rnacentral:misc_RNA from 1 species
GAUGAAGAACGUAGCGAAAUGCGAUAAGUAAUGUGAAUUGCAGAAUUCAGUGAAUCAUCGAAUCUUUGAACGCACAUUGCGCCCGCCAGUAUUCUGGCGGGCAUGCCUGUUCGAGCGUCAUUACAACCCUCAGGCCCCCGGGCCUGGCGUUGGGGAUCGGCGGAAGCCUCCUGUGGGCACACGCCGUCCCUCAAAUACAGUGGCGGUCCCGCCGCAGCUUCCAUUGCGUAGUAGCUAACACCUCGCAACUGGAGAGCGGCGCGGCCAUGCCGUAAAACACCCAACUUCUGAAUGUUGACCUCGAAUCAGGUAGGAAUACCCGCUGAACUUAAGCAUAUCAAUAAGCGGAGGA